rnacentral:tRNA from 1 species
GGGGACUUAGCUCAGCGGUAGAGCACUUGCCUAGCAAGUGCAAGGCCCUGGGUUCAGUCUCCA